rnacentral:rRNA from 1 species
CCUACGGGGGCAGCAGUGGGGAAUAUUGGACCAUGGGCGAAAGCCUGAUCCAGCCAUGCCGCGUGUGUGAAGAAGGCCUUCGGGUUGUAAAGCACUUUCAGUGGGGAAGAAAGCCUUGGGGCUAAUACCCUCGAGGAAGGACAUCACCCACAGAAGAAGCCCCGGCUAACUCCGUGCCAGCAGCCGCGGUAAUACGGAGGGUGCGAGCGUUAAUCGGAAUUACUGGGCGUAAAGCGCGCGUAGGCGGUCUGAUAAGCCGGUUGUGAAAGCCCCGGGCUCAACCUGGGAACGGCAUCCGGAACUGUCAGGCUAGAGUGCAGGAGAGGAAGGUAGAAUUCCCGGUGUAGCGGUGAAAUGCGUAGAGAUCGGGAGGAAUACCAGUGGCGAAGGCGGCCUUCUGGACUGACACUGACGCUGAGGUGCGAAAGCGUGGGUAGCAAACAGGAUUAGAUACCCCAGUAGUC